CCCAGGAUCCGAACCCGUGAAACCCUGGGCCACCGAAGCAGAGCGCACGAACUUAACCCCUCGGCCACGGGGCAGCCCCCUAAAGCCUAUUUAUAUAUGUUCAUGAUCCUCACCACGCCCUAUGACGUGUCUCCUCCCAUCGCCCACGUUAUUGUUGGACUGAGGCACAGAGGGGGUAAUAAUCCACCCCAGGUCCACACAGCCCUGGCAGAGCUGGCAUGAUUUGCACCAGGCAGGUGAUCACUGGUGUCUGUGCCCUUCACCCUGCGCCCUGCGCCCUGCCGUGUGCUGCAGAGGACCGAAGGAAAAGCAGAGCCAGAGACGGGGCAGGAGCCUGCCCUGUCUGCCGGUGGCAUGGGGAGCCAUGGAGGGGAGCGGACCCUGGGUGACCGUUGUCACUGUGCAAUGGGCUGUGACAGGCAGUGCUGGGCGGGGGUUUUAGAGGGUCAGUCAGCGUUCUCCCAGGAGACAGAGCCGAUCGGAGGAGCAUAUAGAGACGCGCUGUGGACUGAAUCGUGUCCCCCUGGAUCAUAUGGUGAAGCCCUAACCCCGAAUGUGACUGUACUUGGAGAUGGGCCCGCAAGGAGGUAAUUAAGGUUUAGUGAGGUCGUGGGGUGGGCCUCGACCUGCUAGGAUUAGUGUCCUUAUAAGAGGAGACACCUGAGGGCUCCAUCUCUCCAUCUCGCUCUCUCUCACUUUCUCCAAUCCCCCUCCCCCCCCCCCCCCCCCCCCCCGCUCUGCCCUGUGAGCACACGGCAAGGAGGUGUCUCUCUAGAAGCCGUGACUAUGAAAGUGAAUUUUCUGGCACCAUGAUCUUGAACUUCCCAGUCUCCAGAACUGUGAGAAAAUAAAUCUGUUGCUUCAGCCACCCAGUGUAUGGUGUUUUGUUAGAGCAGCCCGAGCUGACUGAUACGAGCUUGAUUUUUAAGGAAUUGGCCCAGGUGACAUGGAGGCUGGCAAGUGCAGAAUUGGCAGGCUGGAGGCCCAGGGAGAGCCAGGGCUGUGGGUGGAGCCCCAAGGCCGCCUGCUGGCAGAAUCCCCUCUUGCCUGGGGAAGGUCAGUCUUUUGUUCUAUCCAGGCUUUCAACUGAUCGGACGAGGCCCACCUUUGAUGAAGGGCAGUCUGCUUUACUCAGAGUCUACUGAUUUAAAUGCAUCUCAACCAAAAACACCAUCAGAGAAACAUCUGGAAUCACGUUUGACCAAAUAUCUCUGGGCACUGUGGCCCAGCCAAGUUGACACAUAAAAUUAACCCUCACAUCACCAAAACAGACUGGAAAUGUGCAAGCACCAGGGCGUAGUUCGCUGGACACUCUCUGAACAUCUUUGGUGUGGAGAUGCUGACAAAUUCAGUCUUCGUCCCCGGGCUGGCAGAGGGCUCCGCCUUCUCCCCUUUGCCGGGGUGCAGCUGGCCACAGGGGGUGUAGUCUGAGAACGUCCAAACUGCAGCCCCUCUCCCCCGUCUGCCUGGGGGUAAGCAGCAGGUGGAGGUUGGAGUUUGGCCCACACGGACCCAUUUUCUCAAGGGCUUCUUAGAAGACGAUCUAAGGCUGAGGGUCUCAGCCGCAGCGUCCCUGACGUUUGGGGUCGAAUAGUCCUCUGUUGGGAGCCGUUUCAUGACUGGGGGGGCUGAGCAGCGCCCCUGACCUCUAGCCACCACUGAGGGCCGCAGCCUGGGCUCACUCCCAGGUGCCACCUGGGGGCUCGGGCCUCUGUGUGGCCUUCCCUGCAGAAGCUCGCUCGGGGCCGGGGCCCUAGGCUCCUGUUCUUUCUCUUCUUUUUGGUGCUUUGCUGUGGCUGGCCACCACGUCACUGACCAUCCCACCGUCCGGCAGCUGCUCACAUGAUGGUUUGGGCGGCAGCCUUGGCCACAGCAGUCCCCUCCAGCCUCCAGCGGGGGGUCUAGGAGCAGCGAGGACCCUUCAGAAACCUCUGCCCCCUUCCCUGGCCCUGCCCUGCCCUCCCUGCAUCCCCUGGGUGCCAGUUCUAGGCUGUGACACCCCCCACAUCUGGAGAUCUGCGCACUGAUGGGGACAGAGGCUGGGCCGACCGGGCGGGACCAUCUUUGCGUGUUGAACUUUCAGGACUUUAUCCAUCUACAAGACAAACUCAGGAAGAUUCACUGACUCGUAUUUAGUGCUGAGCUACUAGUGCAAAGUGUUCCAUGUUUAUGUGACUUCAGAGACUUUCGUGUGAAAAACAGCACCCUCCCCCCAGCGUCCAGCAUCCGGGUCCAGCCCCGGGGGGCGGGGGGCAGAGUUUGUUAUUUAUGCAUCUGCUCUGUAGGCUUAUAGGUCCCGAAUCCUGGGCAAGGUUUCAGGAUGCCUUUAAUACUUUUUGAAAUAGAAGUACUUCCCAUGAAACAAAAAUCACCCCCCCCCCCCCGAGUUCUGACAACCAAAAAAUGUCUGCAGACACGGCCAGAUGUCCCUUGGAGGACAAAUCAUCGCCCGUUGAAGAGCACUGAUCCGGGCAGCUUCUAACCAUCCUCUGCCUUCACCUGCUCAUGGCCAGACCAUACGGGAGUGACUCGUCACCCCAGCCCCGGGGGUUUGUACACACACACACACACACACACACACACACACACACACACGCAUGGCCAGUGGACUCUGCCCCAGGGCGUGGGGGUGACAAAACCCCAGGUGGUUGUCCCACUGGCGCUCUCCAUCCGCCUCCUGUCUGCCCCUCCCCUCCCUUCUCCUCCCAUCGUCCGCUGCCCUCAUUCUGCAGCGCAAAUUCAGCCUGGGAGUGGCCUCGGCGGGACUGUGGCAGAACAGGUUGUCCAACCCUGAACUGGAGAAGGGACGACCUGUCUGCCCAGGGAGCCAGUGCUGGGAACCCACCGCGCGUGCGCUCCCGCCAGCAGGGUGACCUUGGGGACACUCGAGGGUGGGGCCUCUACGCCUCUGCCUCUCCCAGGGGAAAGGUUCCCCUGUCCGGGUUUAUCGGCCUCUUAGUCUCGCUGGGGCUGCUCCAGUGUCUUUGUGAACUGGUGACACACUUCCAGGAAGGCAGAGCGGCCUCUUACCACUCGGAAGUGACAACCGGCUCACACCCAUUAGCGUGGCGACUACCAAGACAACAGAAAACGAUGUGGGCGAGGAUGGGGGGACAUCGGAGCCUUUGGGCACCGUCGGUGGGAAGAGCGAGUGAUGCUGGCUGCCACGUCUGAUAACGAUAGAGAUUUCCCUUGAGAUGGGUGACAGUGAGCGCACAGAAAUGAAACUCAAAUUCUGCUCAACAGCCUGGGUUUAUAACCCACAGCGGCGUAGCCCCCUGCUCUGCCUUUACUCCAGGCAGCAAGCAUAUUGCUUUGGGGAAAAAGGAGAGUUAAAAAAAAAACUUAAUGGAAGAGGAUAGCAAGGAAAUGUCCUACACGAGCGUUCACAGCAGCACCGUGCCCAACAGCCCAGAGCGGGAAACGAGCCAGAUGCCUGUCCGUGGACACAUGGGUAAACCCGCUGAGGCACAUCUGGACCAUGGAAUAUUCUUCAGCUGUAAAAGGAAGGAAGUUCUGAGACACGCUACCACAUGCACGACCCUUGAAGACAUUAUGCUAAGUGAGAGAAGUCAGACACGAAAAGCCACAUAUUGUAGGCUUCCAUUCAUGCGAAAUGUCCAGAAUCAGAAAAUUCACCGAGACAGAUAGCAGACUGGGGGCCGAUGGGGCUGGAUGGACGGGGAGCAGAGUGCCUGCUUAAGGGGCCGGGCUUUAUUUUGGGGUGAUAAACACGUUUUGGAAGUAGACAGAGGCGGUGGUCACACGGUGUGAAUUCUAAUUACCACUGGAUCCAUCGCCCUGUGGUUAAUUGGAUGUUAUGUGAAUGUGACUGCAAUAAAAAUAAACAAAAAAGGACGACUUGCAGCCUCA